AGGUGAGUUAAUUUUCUUUUCUUGAUGCAUCUUCUGGAUUCACUGUUGCGUUAAUUUGAUUAAUAAUGUUGAUUUUGUUGAAAUAUUGUUGAGUCGUUUUUUGUUCUUUGGAAACAGCUCGGUAGAAACUUAAAGAAUUCUAAUUGGAUUCGGUAUAGUAUAGGCUUCUUUAUCUCAACAGACCAAUUAUAUCUGUAAAUUGCAAAGUGAGAUUGAAAUUUGUCAUAUUUAACCUAGAAUCCCAUCCAUCAGUGCCUUAUCCACUUAUUUUUCAAUAAGAUCACUCGUCAAGUCCUUCAAAAAUGAAAAAAAUAAAAGAGGUGGGAGGGCGUACCUUGUCUUAAAUUCUUAAAGCUUUGACUCCGUCGAUAAGGAAGAUUGAAGAUAUAGUAUCUUAAAUGUAACCAUUGAUCUAGAGGUGGGAGGGGCUACCUUGGAAAUUAAUGUGUUGCACAACACCAUAUUUUAAUUGCAGCACAAUCAUGUGUUACCCCAUAUUAAUCCCUUACUUUCAACAUAUAAUGUGAGCUUGUUAAAUUAAAAACGCAACAAGUCAGGAGGAUGGCAUCCUCACAGGCCGUUAUGGAAAGGAAAUUCAUCAUGCUGUUGUAGACAUUCUAAUAUGAG
rnacentral:lncRNA from 1 species